CCUACGGGGGGCUGCAGUGGGGAAUCUUCCGCAAUGGGCGCAAGCCUGACGGAGCAACGCCGCGUGAGUGAAGAAGGUCUUCGGAUCGUAAAGCUCUUUUGAUGGGGACGAACGUGCCUAAUGCGAAUAGUUUUAGGCAAUGACGGUACCCAUCGAGGAAGCCACGGCUAACUACGUGCCAGCAGCCGCGGUAAUACGUAGGUGGCGAGCGUUGUCCGGAAUCAUUGGGCGUAAAGGGAGCGCAGGCGGGCAUGUAAGUCUUUCUUAAAAGUGCGGGGCUCAACUCCGUGAUGGGAAAGAAACUAUAUGUCUUGAGUACAGGAGAGGAAAGCGGAAUUCCCAGUGUAGCGGUGAAAUGCGUAGAUAUUGGGAGGAACACCAGUGGCGAAGGCGGCUUUCUGGACUGCAACUGACGCUGAGGCUCGAAAGCCAGGGGAGCGAACGGGAUUAGAUACCCGGGUAGUC
rnacentral:rRNA from 1 species